rnacentral:rRNA from 1 species
UACAGAGGGUGCGAGCGUUAAUCGGAAUUACUGGGCGUAAAGCGCGUGUAGGCGGCUCUGCAAGUCGGGUGUGAAAUCCCAUGGCUCAACCAUGGAAGUGCACUCGAAACUGCAGGGCUAGAGUCCUGGAGAGGAAGGUGGAAUGCUUGGUGUAGAGGUGAAAUUCGUAGAUAUCAAGCGGAACACCGGUGGCGAAGGCGGCCUUCUGGACAGUGACUGACGCUGAGACGCGAAAGCGUGGGGAGCAAACAGG